CAGACAUAGAUGCAUUACUUGAAAAUGCCAGCACAUGACAUCGGCUGAGGACUGCGCUCUGUGCCCUUCUGCUAGAUCUUAGUGCUGGUGUGCAGGGGUUAUACAAGGCCCUUCACCCUGCAGGACUCAACGCAGAGGGAUUCUUUAGAGCAUACAACUGCAAAGCAAUCCUGCAGGACAAACCUAAAAUCAGCUUUGCAUCGUAAACCAGUGACACUGCAUCCUCUUUCAACAUAUGCUCACGAUUAAUGCCAGAAUGCUGCGUGAGGAACAUAUUGGAUACAGACUUCUUUCUUAAACUGAGAGAGAGGUGUCACCGAAAUCAUUAUCAUCUCUGAUCAGCCGUUUUGACUGUCAUGAUCUGCUGUGCUUUUAUCUGCAGGGUUUGUGGAUGGGAAUGUAAACUGACAAGGAACGUAUUUAUAGUCUCAUUAUGCUUCCUGUUUGUUUAUGUCAUCCGUGGUUCUUGGCCUUGAAGAUAAGGUCAUUAUUGUGGUUUUUCGUAUUUCAUAGCAUUGACCGCUGAAGACAGAUUUCCAGUUGCCUGACUGACAAAAGUACACUUGCACCGGAUGAUACAUUUGGGGUUAAAACGUGGCUCGUUCUCCCGCAUGAGACAUGUGGGACAUCAUUUGGUCGCCACACAGCGCACGCACCCUCACCGGGACAGCCGGACAGCCCCGAGAUCAAAGCCUGCCAAAUUCCCUGGUGAUUAUUCCCCUUUUGGGUCCGAUGUCAUGAUCAGAGACUGCAGCGGGGAGGCAGCGUACUCAGUCAAACAAGCUACGUAACAUUCAUUCGCCAUGCCAGAUCUAUUGCAAAGGCACACAUUCAUCCUUGUGCACGCACACAUGGACCCAGAUGAGGCGCGGAGGCAGCUGUGCUGUCACCCUGUGUCUAAUAUAGACGGAGAGCGGGUGAAGAAACGAUUGGACGCAGUGAGACACUCGGUCAACUUGGGGGGGGGCUGAGAACAUCAGGACGAUGAUGAACUCCUUUUCUACAGGCUCCACAGUAUAAACUCGUGAGAAUUACGACCUGCUUGGGUUUCUGCAGUAACGUAUCAGCUGAAACAACAGAUUAAGCAGUUCAACUGUAUCUUCAAAGCCUUUUCCAAAAGUCUGAUUUAUCAUUUUAAAGACGGACUGUGGCUGCUUUCUCAUGGACAUCAUUAAACUGAAUUACAACAUGGUUUAAUUAACAGACCGUUUGGGUAAUAUGCAUAUUUGCGUUCUCGCGGAGGGCUAAUUGAGAAGAUCAAUAACACCUUCAGUUAUGUACUUGUGCCAGGAGACGAUUAGCUUAGCUUCUCAGGAAGCCACCAGAGAGACUCGCAAUGUAUGGAACCAAAUCCAGGUCAAAAGUUUUGUACAUUUGAAAAUCAAAUGUGAACCUGAAAGUUUAAGUUUUAUUGUUGAACAUUGAAAAAUACAACAAUAUAUUCAAAAUAAAAAUAAGUGGACGA
ensembl:lncRNA